rnacentral:rRNA from 1 species
UGGGUAACCUGCCUCAAAGAGGGGAAUAGCCUCCCGAAAGGGAGAUUAAUACCGCAUAAUAUGUUUAAGUCGCAUGACUUUAACAUCAAAGGAUUUUUCUUUUAAGAAAUUCCACUUUGAGAUGGACCCGCGGCGCAUUAGCUAGUUGGUGAGGUAACGGCUCACCAAGGCAACGAUGCGUAGCCGAUCUGAGAGGGUGAUCGGCCACAUUGGAACUGAGACACGGUCCAGACCUCUACGGGAG